CCCUUUUAUGAAAUACCCCAGCUCCGCUAUUAAUAAGUUAUUCUGCUUCUCAAUCCUUAUUCCCCAGCCCUAACUCGAAAACAUUGAACGAAGGAACCCCUCCCCAAUAGAAGCUCUCACAACUCGCGCUCCAACGAGGGAUCCUUAGCUCGCGCCGGACCUGGGUCUCCAGAAGCUCCGGGUCGCUCAAGUCUCUUCGCCAGUCUUCACAGCUUCCGGUCGAGAUCAAGGCACCCUUUAUCUUUAAAGAUGGCUAAAAAAGGUCGUUUCACGAAAAAACCGAAAGAAGGACCAAGAUGUCAGCAACCACAAAUGGCUCUGCCUCCGGCCUCUGCUACCCACCGUGAUGACUUCGAAAUUCUCCCGAACAGUGGUGAUAGUGUCCCUCCAACUUCACGCCCGUUCCUUCCGCCGCGCAGUGUACCAAGGCCUGCUCCGCAAACGAGCACAACUACCAUUCAGAACUCGGAGCCAAGCUGUGUAAACUCUACGGAUAAUGCUAAUGAUGUAGAUUCUGUUGAUCAAGAAGCUGAUUACUCGUUUGUUGAUUCUUGAGCUCAGAAUCACAAAGGACGUAGGACAAUAGAGUUUUCGGAAGUCAGGAUAAUUGAUUCUGAUGGCACAAUCAAGCCAGCAAGACUAAGCAUGAGGGAGGCUAUGGAACGGCUUAAUGAUAGAAAGAUCGUGCUCAAGUUCAACAAGGCAAAGCAAGCAAUUGGAAAUGAGGCUGGACUGUUGAGUGGCUAGGAUCUGACUUUGGGAAAUUUCCUAUCUAUGAGGAAAGUUGGCGUAAGAUUACCACUAAGGACAAAGUUUAUAACGAAUGUGUCAAGCAAAUUUUUCACAUUGAUGAAGAUAGCGAAGGAAUUAUCAAGAAGAAUAUUUUGAAAAGUAUGGGAAAGUCCUGGAAGGAGACAAAGCUGAUGUUGUAUAAUGCUUAUUUUGAGCCAAUGUUCACGAUUGAACAAAAUAUUGAGAACCGUCUGCCAGGAAUCGAUCGAGAGCAUUGAAGAUGGUACCUUGACUAUCACGCCAAACCUGAAACGAAGGAGAAGUGCAAAAAAAAUGCAAAGAAUCAAUCAAAACAACUAUAUACCCACACUGGCAGGUCGAAAAGCUUUGCACGGCGGAUCGAAGAAGAGUCUGAAGAACAAGGGAGAAUAGUCGGUAGAGGGGAGCUAUGGAUCACAGUGCAUAAAAAAAGGACGGAUCCUAUAUGAAUGAUGAAGCAAGAGUAAUCGGUGAAAGUGGUACUACUUAUAAUUGAUCGAUAAAGUUAUGACCUCAAAUAGGGUAGUGAUGACUAGAAUUCAUUACCCAUUUCAAAAUUUAGUGAAUUAGUUCUUUUGGCAAGCGCACCAAAAUUAUCGCCAAGUAAUAACCCACUAGGAGUGGGAUCGUAUUCACAGAGAUUGGCAAAUUUAAGCAGUUUUAAUUGAUUGAGGAAUUAGUCAAGCGGAUCAAUAAGAUUGUGAAGUGCAGAAUUAUAAAUGACAUAAAUGUAAAUGACUAGAAUAUAAAGAAAAGCAAGAAAGUGCAGAAAUGGAAAUUGCAGAAUGUAAAGUGCUGAAUCAUAAAUGACUUGAAUGUAAAUGGGAGUAGGGAAUUGUUGAAUGUAAAAAUUAAGCAGUAAAGAAAUGGAUAGAUAAGAAUAGGGAAGUUCAUUGAGAUUGGGAGAUAUUGUCUCUUUGGAUCAAAUCUAGCUUAUAUCUUCUUCAAUCAUGCAACUCAUUGACCUCUUAGCAAUCAUAAUUGAUUGAGCCCCAAUCCCUUGGUGACUCAAUCUCUCAGAUCUUGAUCAAUAGCCAAUUCCUUGGUCUAAUUUCUCAUGAAGAGAGAUAUGCUUGGUCCCUGAUUACACCACACACCCUCAUAGGUCCAGGUAGAGGGGGGGAUUAUAUGUCACGUAUCCCAUCACCAAAACCCAGAAUCUAUUCAAGUGUAAGAAGGGAUUUCAAGCAUGGUUUCAUGUUUCCUUUCCCAAGGUUCCCAUAAAACCCAAUUGCAUUCAAUCUCUUUCUCAAGAUAAUUGAACACUAAGCAUUAAGAACGAAAUUCCUUCUAGCAAAUCAAAGAGAAGAUGAAUAGAAGAAGAAUUUUACUAUUAUCAAUCCAUCAAGUACAACAGAGCUCUCUCUCUCAAUGAGAGGGAAGUUAGCUACUCAUAGCUUGAAAAGUACUCAAAAGUGGAGUGUAAAAGUGGAUCUAAAACUAACUGCUUAACCCCAUUCUUCAGUACUCUUUGGGGAUAUUUAUACUACUCCUAGUAAAAUAAAAGAAUUACAAAAGUGAAAAGGGAAAAUUACAUUUUGGAGGGAAAAGAAAACUCAAUAAGCGUGACUUCCCAGCUGGCGUGUGGCUGGCGCGUCACGUGCCCUUC